CCAGCGAGGGCCGGUAGGAAACUGAGUCAGAUAUUUGGAAAAGCCAUUUGAGCGUUUACAGACUCAUUCAACUUUCUCCGUCACCUUCCUGUGAGUCUGCUCACUUCCGGUAACCUGCCGUUCACCUGCUGUCGCACACGGUACCGACGGGACGGGGGGCGUGACCGGUUCGAGCCGGUCAGAACGAGGUUUGCACCUGGCACCGGCGUGAUGGAGAAGAUCGGCACGAAGAGCUUUCUGCUGGAGAGACUUCACUACUGAUGGAGAACCCGUGACGAUACGUCCUCCACGCAAGUUACUCCAGUUGUAUUGGAUUUGGCUGCAACGCUGUUUACCCCUAAAACAUCAGCAUAGUGGAUGAGAUGGAGGCAACCCAGGAGGGAGCAGUGGCUCUGGUUGCAGUGGUGGAUGAAGCAGAGGUGCCUGCAGGUGUUCCCUUUGAAACUCAUCAUGUGUCGAUCGUUCUCAAAUCAAGUUGUAAUGUCUCACAGAUCUUGAACUGAUUCACUGGUAAUUUUGUGUGGACUGAUCUAUGCUCUACAUUUGAGCUACCCUGAGAAGCUGAGUGGCUUCUUUGAGUUCAUCCAGGUUGUCCUGUUAAAUCUUGAUGAUGGGAGAAAGCAGCUCGAAGCUAAGUUGCAGUCCUUGAGAAAUGAGCUGGAGUAGGUUGUCAUUAGCUUAUCAUGUUGAAUGUCAGCAUCGUUUUUUGCUUGCAUGCCAAAUACUGGUAGCUAAUGACAUGUAUAUAGAGUAAACUAUGGCACCUAAGAUUUUUGUGUUAAAAUAGAUCCUAAUCUUGGAUUGCUUCUGUGGUGUUCACACUUCUCUUCUUUACCACAUGGAAAUAUUUGUAAUUUAUAUUUAUAUUAUUUUUUAUAUGAGCCUCAUUUCAUUGUCAUUUCCAGCAUAUAAAUGUUAAUGUAUACAACAUUUAAUUCAACAGCUUCAUUGUACAACAAUAUUGGCACGGAAUCCAAGGGUAUCCAAAUGUUGACGUUAAAAAUGUUUUAUUUUGUCAGUUACUGACACUUUGGAUGAACUAUACCUUUAAACUGUUAACUUAAAAUGUGCCCUGCUUUAUGUUCAGUUUAUCGUUAUGGGCAUAAUAAUGUGCUUAGUCUGCUGUAGCCUUUAAGAUUGCAUAUGUGAAAAAUCUGAGAGAUAUUCCUUUGAAUUUCAGUAGCUGGUUGCAUUGAAAUGUGAACAACAAAAUAAAUUGCUCAAACUGA